UCCUUUGCUCCUCAGUACUACUGAUACGCCUCGUGCAUCGCUCUGAGCACACUAAUCCACUCAAUGGAAAUGACAUAUUUCUGAUGUCAGUAAUUGCAUUGUUCAAUAUCAAGUGCAAUGAUCUCUGCAAGUAUUUCUGCUUAAAUACCAACUACUACUCUAAAAUGUCAGCAUUUUAAUUGGUUUCUGUUUAGACGACUCAUGCCAAGCGUACACAAAGUGGAUCUUGUUUCUGCACCUCACAAAAGGACCAUUCAAAACCCCAACAAAUUCAAAGCAGGUAAGAUCAAGUUCAUCACAUCUUUGCAGUUCCAGGACAGUCAAUUCUUUCUCUGCUUUUCUAAUUCAGGUAAUGCUUUCAUGUGGCUGUGAUUUUCAAGUCCAGUGGAUAAAAAUUAAAAACAAUGAGAGGCUUAUUUGUGCACUUGGAGGAGCUCAACGCUGUGCAAUUGUUUGGAAGUUUGGAUUGCCUAUUCAUGGCAAACAGCAUCUGUGCUCAAUUACACUCCAUCCAUCAGGAGGUUUUCCUGUGUGCUGUCAAGAUUUUGAUUUAGGACAGGAUACAAACUGAGAGUUUUCAGCUGUAGUAUUGGAAACCAGAGACAUAUCUGAGAUUAUCCACAUAGUCUGAAUCCCAGCCCAGAGAGGGACAGCCACAGCAGAGAGGCUCCUCCUGUCCCCUGCACCCCACGCUCCUGCUGCUCCAACACCACUGCACAUCUGAGACUCAAGCUGUAAAAAUACUGUUAUAAAGAACAGUUUUCCAAUUGAUAGAAAUAAAUGAGAUGAUCUUGUGCUUGAAUGUUAGCAUACAUUUUAAGGAAGUUAAGAGGAUUGAUUUUAUUUAAUUUCUGGAAUAAAAACUUAUCGGAGCAAAACACUGCUUCCGUAUUUAAAAUUUUAAUAUUUGCAGCCUCACAACUGCAUUAGUUUUUAAUAAAAUUGCCUUAAUCUGGCAGUAUGCUGAAAGCAAAUAGUGAUAGUGGCACAGUGGAACUAGAGUAACAAAACUGAAGGCAUUGUGAUGGACAGCAUAUAUAUUAAAUUACAUUUUUCCCCUCCAUGCAGUGAUUUAAAUAGUCAGCAGCUCUUGCAAGGAGUGUUGUGCAACAGUGAAUGAAGAACUGUUCAAAGAACCUCAUUGAACCAAAAAUCCAACACAUCUCCCUCAUCCCAGAAAAAAAACAAUAAAACAACCCAAAAGCAAACAAUGAAAAACAGAUCUGACCUUGUCUUGCUCUGAGGACUGACUGGCUUUUAAAUGGUCUGUAUGUGUUUUCCA